UCUGCUUGCUACUGACCCGCGAGGGGUGGUGAGUACACGGUGGAGACCGCUGGCGCUAAGUCAGAGGAAGGAGUGGUCGACGGUAGGUCAGUAUGCCCCGAAUAUCCCGGGCUACACGCGGGCUACAAUGGACUGGACAAUGGGUAACGACACCGAAAGGUGAGGUCAAUCUCUUAAACCAGUUCUUAGUCCGGAUUGAGGGCUGUAACUCGCCCUCAUGAAGAUGGAAUCCGUAGUAAUCGCAUUUCAAAACAGUGCGGUGAAUACGUCCCUGCUCCUUGCACAAAA
rnacentral:rRNA from 1 species